rnacentral:rRNA from 1 species
UGGGGAAUAUUGCACAAUGGGGGAAACCCUGAUGCAGCGACGCCGCGUGAGUGAAGAAGUAUUUCGGUAUGUAAAGCUCUAUCAGCAGGGAAGAAAAUGACGGUACCUGACUAAGAAGCCCCGGCUAACUACGUGCCAGCAGCCGCGGUAAUACGUAGGGGGCAAGCGUUAUCCGGAUUUACUGGGUGUAAAGGGAGCGUAGACGGCGGAACAAGUCAGAAGUGAAAACCCGGGGCUCAACCCUGGGAGUGCUUUUGAAACUGUUUGGCUGGAGUGCAGGAGAGGUAAGCGGAAUUCCUAGUGUAGCGGUGAAAUGCGUAGAUAUUAGGAGGAACACCAGUGGCGAAGGCGGCUUACUGGACUGUAACUGACGUUGAGGCUCGAAAGCGUGGGGAGCAAACAGG